rnacentral:rRNA from 1 species
AGCAGCCGCGGUAAUUCCAGUUCCAAUAGCGUAUAUUAAAGUUGUUGCAGUUAAAAAGACUCGUAGUUGAAUUUCGGGAUUGACGUGAUGGUCGUGCCUUACGGGGUAUGAACUGUUGCAGUCAAUUUCUCACCUUCUGGAGAAAUAUGAUGUCCUUAAUUGGGUGUCAUAUGGAACCAGAACUUUUACCUUGAAAAAAUUAGAGUGUUUAAAGCAGGCUUAUUGCUCGAAUACAUUAGCAUGGAAUAAUAAAAUAGGACGGCAUGGUUCUAUUUUGUUGGUUUCUAGGAUCACCGUAAUGAUUAAUAGGGAUAGUUGGGGGCAUUAGUAUUCAAUUGUCAGAGGUGAAAUUCUUGGAUUUAUUGAAGACUAACUACUGCGAAAGCAUUUGCCAAGGAUGUUUUCAUUAAUCAAGAACGAAAGUUAGGGGAUCGAAGACGAUCAGAUACCGUCGUAGUCUUAACCAUAAACUAUGCCGACUAGGAAUCAGACGAUGUUAAUUUUUUAAUGACUCGUUUGG